rnacentral:lncRNA from 1 species
UUAAGUGAAUUUGCAUAUAAUUGUACAUUAUGUAGAAUUUUACUCUGUUUUAGUGUGAGCCUUAUUCUGCUGCCCCCCCCCCCCACCAAUGAAUCUGGAGCCUGUUAGGUAAAUUUUCUCCAGAAUAAACCAUUCCAUUCUCAUUUGUUUGCAAAAGGGAUAAUUGCUUGGCUAUUAUGAGAGGACCUAGAAGUUUAACUACUUUGUAUGCAGACUUUAAAUCAAUUCUUGUAUUAUCUCCCUUUCCCUUCACCGUGCUCCCUGAUGGCCAUUUUUCUUUUGUGGGGGUUUAAGCCUGAAUGUUUCCAGGAUUCUGUUUUCAAAUUAAUCUUGUGUUUCAAUGGUAUUUCCAUUCAUGGUCAUUUAGAAUUGAAUUUCUUCUUCCUUAAGGCCAUCUACUUUCUAGUUUCUGAUUUUUCAUUGCUUUGUCAUCUGCUCUUUUUCCUCUCUUUUUUUCCUUUGACCCUGGGGAUUUAUUCAUUUUCCCCCUUGUUUUUGCUUUAAUGAGGUUUUAUUGAGCAAUAGAGAAAUUUAUGCAAUCCAUCAUGUUUAAUCAGAAGUCCUUCCUAUUAUACUAGAUCUAAAAUAUAAAUGUGUAGUCAUGCUUAAAAUUCAUUAUUGACACCUUGUUCUUAUCAGGAUAAGGUUUAAACUCUUCAGCAAGAUAUAUAAAAGCUCUUAUGAUAAUGAAUCUCAUCUACGUCUCUAGCCUUAUAACUGGCCCCAAAUCUCAUCUCCUCCAUUCUUUACUCUAGCCAUAUUGAACUCUUUGUAGUUUACUGAAUGUGUUGAGUUCUCUGCACUUUGUAUUUCACUUCCUACUUUAUUCAAUAUUUAUUUGAGAGUUACCAGCAUUGGAUUUAUAAUUCAGGCAAGAAGAUAUAGAUGAGGUUCCCUGAAGCAGCACUAUAGAGUAAGAAGUGAAAUAAUCCUAGGAUUGAGCCUUAAAGAAAUCUAACAUGUAGGAUUGUAUAGCAGAGGAAAACAUACAAAAAGAGAACAAAAAGGAGUGGAUAAAUAAUAGGAGGAAAUUUGGAAUUUAUAGUUCUGUGGGAAAGGGGCUGUUUUAAGAUGCAAACAAUAGAUCUUGAUGAAAUAUAUGGGUAAGAUGAUUAAGAAAUUGUUUUGUUUCUGGCAUGUAGGUUAUUGUUCACCUUAAAAACAGUUGUUUUGACUGAAUGAUGAUGACAGAGAAGGAGUUAUCUAACUGUGAAACUGCCUUCUUCCAAAGUUGGAGGCAAGAACAUCUAGUAAAAGAAAACAGAGUUGUGUAAAUAGAGUAGUUGGAACUUUGAAGAGAGUCAAAAUGAAUUUUGAAAUAGUUGUUCUAAGAGUAUGAACAUGUUGACUAGAGAAAUGUAAUAGGGUUACUGGUUGUUUGAAGAUAGUGAUGAGUACUGUACCAUAAUUCUAGUCUGUCCUGUUGUGAUCUGUAUUUUGUAGCACUCACCUGGCAAGACACAAGCAUGAGCAUAUUUUUAUAUGAAGUUUAUAUAAAAUUGGUCUUAUUCAGGGUUGGGUCUUUAUUGACAAGGGAAAAUUAGAAAAAAGAGCAAAUCAGUUUAAGGAGUGGGUGAAAUAAUACAUAGUAGUCCACCCGUGUCUGUGGGGCCCCCUGGUGUAAGCAGGAAAUCUCACUAUAUAUAAAUAUAUACACUAUUUUUUUUCCUAUGCAUAAAUUUCUGUGAUAAAUUAUAAGUUUAAAUUGGGCAUAGUAAGAGAUUAACAGCAAUGAAAAACAGAACAAUUAUAAUGAUAUACUGUAAUAAAUAAAAGUUAUGUGAAUGUAGUCUCUUGAGAAAGUUAAGAUAGAUGUUAAUAUUUUUGGAUUGGUUGACUACAGGUAGCUGAAACCAUGGAAAGUGAAAUGAUGGAUAGGAGGAUACUGUUGUUACAUGAAAUUUGAGCUGCAUAAGGAAGUCAGGAGGACAAUAGUGGGUAGGGAAAGAAAUACUUAUCAUUUAAUUGAAUAAGUUUAUAAGGGCACUUAUAAACUUAAAACUCAAAGGCUCUGAGCCACAUCCCCAGCCCUAUUUUGUAUUUUACUUAGAGACAGGGUCUCACUGAGUUGCUUAGCGCCUCGCUUUUGCUGAGGUUGGCUUUGAACUCAGCAAUCUUCCUGUCUCAGCCUCCUGAGCCUCUGGGAUUACAGGUUGUGCCACCACAACCAGUUG